GGAUGUGAAUGAAGCCUACAUAUACAUAAAUCAAAAUGACACAGCUUUAUAAUUAAAUUGAAACAAAAGUAAGGCGUUCGCUAACACGUGACCAAACUGUGGAGUUAGCUGUCAGAUUCAAUUGCUCACAGGUGGUGAUAAUGGAGGGCAAGCAAGAAGAAGUGAAAUUUAAAUUUGUGGAUUAUACACUUGCUAUAUAGCUGCAUUUAGAAGCGAUACACGAUUGUAACAAAGAAAUUCAGUCAGAGACUGCAAGGAAAACAAAUGUGGUGGCGGUAAAUAACAAUGAAAUCGAAGACCAU